UGUGGGAGCGAGCUUGCUCGCGAUAGCGGUGGUUCAGUCAGGAAUGUUGUCGACUGGGACACUGCUAUCGCGAGCAAGCUCGCUCCCACA
rnacentral:antisense_RNA from 1 species